UACGUAGGGUGCGAGCGUUGUCCGGAAUUAUUGGGCGUAAAGGGCUCGUAGGCGGUUUGUCGCGUCGGGAGUGAAAACCCAGGGCUUAACUCUGGGCUUGCUUUCGAUACGAGCAGACUAGAGGUAUGCAGGGGAGAACGGAAUUCCUGGUGUAGCGGUGAAAUGCGCAGAUAUCAGGAGGAACACCGGUGGCGAAGGCGGUUCUCUGGGCAUUACCUGACGCUGAGGAGCGAAAGUGUGGGGAGCGAACAGG
rnacentral:rRNA from 1 species